rnacentral:rRNA from 1 species
ACGAGCGCAACCCUUAUCCUUUGUUGCCAGCGAUUCGGUCGGGAACUCAAAGGAGACUGCCAGUGAUAAACUGGAGGAAGGUGGGGAUGACGUCAAGUCAUCAUGGCCCUUACGAGUAGGGCUACACACGUGCUACAAUGGCAUAUACAAAGAGAAGCGACCUCGCGAGAGCAAGCGGACCUCAUAAAGUAUGUCGUAGUCCGGAUUGGAGUCUGCAACUCGACUCCAUGAAGUCGGAAUCGCUAGUAAUCGUGGAUCAGAAUGCCACGGUGAAUACGUUCCCGGGCCUUGUACACACCGCCC